rnacentral:rRNA from 1 species
GGAGUACGGCCGCAAGGUUAAAACUCAAAUGAAUUGACGGGGGCCCGCACAAGCGGUGGAGCAUGUGGUUUAAUUCGAUGCAACGCGAAGAACCUUACCUACUCUUGACAUCCAGCGAACUUUCCAGAGAUGGAUUGGUGCCUUCGGGAACGCUGAGACAGGUGCUGCAUGGCUGUCGUCAGCUCUUGUUGUGAAAUGUUGGGUUAAGUCCCGCAACGAGCGCAACCCUUCUCCUUUCUUGCCAGCGAUUCGGUCGGGAACUCAAAGGAGACUGCCGGUGAUAAACCGGAGGAAGGUGGGGAUGACGUCAAGUCAUCAUGGCCCUUACGAGUAGGGCUACACACGUGCUACAAUGGCGCAUACAAAGAGAAGCGACCUCGCGAGAGCAAGCGGACCUCACAAAUUGCGUCGUAGUCCGGAUCGGAGUCUGCAACUCGACUCCGUGAAGUCGGAAUCGGUAGUAAU